rnacentral:rRNA from 1 species
GACGAACGCUGGCGGCGUGCUUAACACAUGCAAGUCGCGCGGGAAAGAGACUUUCGGGUCUUGAGUAGAGCGGCGGACGGGUGCGUAAGACGCGGGUGACCUAUCCGAGAGGCGGGGAUAACCCAGCGAAAGCGGGGCUAAUACCGGAUGAGCCCCCACGGCGGAAACGACGCGGGGGCGAAAGAAUGCUACUCGAUAGUGGCAUGUCCU